GUGGAGCUGAUUGGAUCGUUAAGUGGACAAGUUACACCUGGGUUUGGGAUCAACUAGUAGAUAAAAGUUCCUGGUGCCCAGUCCUCGCUCUCUCUCCUCAAGUACUGUUUUGUGAUCUAAUUGAUUUUGGUCACUACCAUGACAUGGUGUGUGAGUCACGCGUUCAUCUCAACAAUCCAGGCAAACGCUGCUGUGGAAAAGAGACCUUGUACCCUCAGUAUGAAAUCUGCUGAAGUGGCCACAAGGCGUCUACCGCUGCAGCCAAGGGACUCCUCCCAGCCAAGGGUCUCUUCCCAGCCAAGGGUCUCCUCCCAUUCUGUACUUCACUUCCCUUUUUCCAGUCAGAGGCAUUCAGACAGUUAGACUACCAGGCAUUCCUAAGAGAGGCGGUGUGUCUGCUUCGGCAUUUCUAGGAGGAGGCCAGACACCUGUUUGGGGGUUGGUAGUUGAUUUUGUCUACCUAGCACUAUUGUGCAACUUGUGCUUGACCUCGGUGUCUGACACUAGGAGGAAAAUAGUUGAUUCUCGUUUGCUAUUUGAGGAAUGUCGCUAAUGUUUGUUCCAUGUAAAUGUUCAUUAUUGACUGAGGUCUGAUUUUUGGGAAUACAGAAAAAUGUACCGUGUCUGAGGGCACAUCUGACACAGACGGGAAGGAAUUUCGGAAAAACACUUGAAUCUACUAAUGUUUUGACUCUGUAUAGUGGCUUCCCACGUUGCUCUAAAGUCUGUAGAAACGUGGUCGAACACAACAUUAACAAACAAUGCUACAAUGUUAGUCUCAACCUGUCAAUCAAACCAAAAUUAAUUCGUUUUUCCUUUGAACAUUUCUCUACAAGGCUGUAAUGUACCAAAUAUGUUGGUUGAAAGAAAGUCCAUUUUCUAACAGACGACCAGUUUUGUUCAGCAGUCAUCGCACUAUUGUAUGGAUGCUGCUUUUACUGUCUGUACAGUAUUUGCUGCCAAGUUAAACAAAUCAUAAUCCAAUCUUGAUCUAAUCACCACCAUCUGUCCUCCCUCCGUCCAGGUCACUACCAUGGUUCUAGCUUUAUUACGGAGCUAGCUUUAUUUAUUACACCCCUAUUACUAGCCUGUUCAACCUCUCUUUCGUGGCAUCUAAGAUUCCCAAAGAUUGGAAGGCAGCUGU